rnacentral:lncRNA from 1 species
UUUUUUUUUUCUUAUGUCCAAACGGGCUCUAGAUUUCGCAAUUAUUGUACAUAGAUUCAUAUCUCCGGGACUCCGACUGAAGUAUUGAACUAACAAGAGACCCUCCAAUAGCAACACAAAAAUCCACCUGAAAUGGCAAGGGAGUAUAUAACAGACUAAGAUCAGAUAUCUCUGAGAGGCAGGAAUUCCAAAAAUAAAAUAAAAAAAAAAUUUAAAAGGCAAAGUAAAACAUCAACCUUGGCAAUGAACACGUACUGAACUUCAAGAAAAUGUUUAGUUUCAAUCUCCUACUGUACCAGCAUCAAUGAAACGAUAUCGAAAUCCCAGUGCCUGCAUUUACUUCUCUACACACACGUGUUUACUUUCAAAAGUUUAAUCAAGAAAUCUUUUGGUAACAAAAAUUGAGGUUGCUUUGCCUGGAAGUAUGUGGUGAUCUCCAGCAUUUCUUCAAUUUGNNNN